UAUGCACCCAAAGCCCUGCCUGCCAGGCAAUCGCGAAGUCUUUACUCCAGUACUACUCUUCUAUGCCCUGGAGCCCCGAACUCUCCCGGAGAGCCCUGAAAAGCUAGAAGACUUCUGCGUAACCACCUCCGGACUCCCGUAGCUCCACUUCUUUCCCCAAAGGCCCAGCAAUCUCCCUAGGGACCCGACGCAACAGGACAACGUGGAGCGGGAAGAGACAUGGCUGAGCGUGUGGGUGCACGAAGCGAAGGGGCUUCCCCGGGCAGCGGCGGGGGCACCCGGCGUGCGCGCCGAGCUGUGGCUGGAUGGCGCGCUGCUGGCACGCACGGCGCCUCGGGCCGGCCCAGGCCAGCUCUUCUGGGCCGAGCGCUUCCACUUCGAGGCGCUGCCACCGGCACGUCGCCUGUCGCUGCGGCUGCGCGGCUUGGGCCCGGGAAGCGCGGUGCUGGGCCGCGUGGCCCUGGCGCUGGAGGAGCUGAGCGCCCCACGCGCGCCUGCCGCCGGCCUGGAGCGCUGGUUCCCGCUGCUUGGGGCGCCGGCGGGCGCAGCACUGCGGGCGCGG
rnacentral:sRNA from 1 species